AUUUAACAUUCAUUUUAAGUGUUUCAUAAAUUGAGCUAGCUUUGUUCUAACAGAAUAAACCAGCCUUUCCAAGUUCUCAUAGCUAAAACAUUUCAAUUUCUUACUAUGCUGGACAAUCACUUCUACUGUUUAUUCUGUAUUCAACUGUUCAAGAUGGAACCAUAUAGCAGACUGUUUUAAAAGAAAUCUUGCAUUGAUCCAACAUAACUAGAACUACCCAUGUGACUAGUCGUUCUCAUUACAACCAACGAAGGACUCUACUGUAGACAUCCUUUAAGUGAUGUUCUUCAAAGCCCAUAACAGAUAGAACAAAGGGAAAAG